rnacentral:lncRNA from 1 species
AUUAUGGACUUACAUGUUAAAAUAUAACAACUUUUAAUUUUUCGUAUUUUGUAUAAACAAUAGGGACAUUUAAUGUUAAUAACCUAACAAAUGCAUCUAAGCCGUUAUAUAACUUUUGGGUUGAAUCUAAAGGUGGAUUUGAAAAAGACAAAAAAUGGGGUACCAAACACCAUGGGUAAUAUAGCUGGACCCAAUUUUAUUACCAAGUUCAUUUGUCAGUAAGUGGUGAUGACACUAGAGACAGAAUUAUUUAACAAGUACAAGUAACUUAUAAAUCUGUCUAAUGCUUUCAUUAAAAUUGUGUGCAUAAUUGAAUGGUAAAGAUAGUUUUUGCCAGAUUCUUGAAAUAAAGGGUUCUCUGGCGUACAUAUUAAUUCAUAAAUCUGGAUUUCCUGCCUUUGUCUUUUCCCGCUUCAUAGACUUUGUAAUAUAGGAUCUAAAAAUAUUUCACGGAGUUUCCACUACAACUGCCUACCUGGUAAUUUGAGUUUCUGUAAACCAACUUAAAACUUGUAUCAAAAAUUGAAACUUCUAGUGUUUUUUUUUUUUGCCUUUUUCUUUUUUAAAUUUAUUUCAUUUUAUCGCAGGCAAUGGGUUCUAAGUAUUAUCCACCACUCUUAUUUUAUAAUUAAAUAUAACAAAUCAAUAAUCGUGAUGUAAAUAUGAAUAUGAAACAAACUUCUUAAGAAAUUAAUUAUCUAAUGCGAGCACUAGCCCUUGUCUCCCGUAUCUCUCAAGUUAGGUUGAGGGUGUGGAUUCAAAUUCAAGCCUUCUAUGAGGGCUUGAUUUCUCCAAAUUUUAUAGGAAUAGAUAUUUCCCAUAUAUUUGUGCAAUUAGAUUUCUAAAUUAAUGUUUGGUGGAUCUAUGAAUUGUUGAACAAAGUGUCUUGUUGAUCAAAUCAUUUUGGAACAAAAAAGAAAAUUAGUAGAAUUUGAAAUAAUCCGAAUGUAGUAUUGUUAAACUUCAAAUCAGCAAGAACUGAUUCCUGUUCCCCAAGAACUACUCUUAACUCUUAAGUCUAAUGACCUUUAAAUGGCUACUAAAGAAACUAUGGUUGAUGAUUUUGAUCUGUGCAAAAAGAAUAACUAAUCAAUCUAAGCAAAGAAAUCACACACACUUGACAUAAAAGGCUUAUAAUGGUUCGGCCAUAAACUAACCUAUAUCCACGGUGAAGAUCAAAGAGAGCUUUCCCUACUUUUGUCUUUACAAGAUACAAUAUUGAAGAUAAACUGUAAAUGAACAGAAUUAGUCAAAGAUCAGAUCCGAUGGCUUAAUAUACAUUUAGAAAACAAUAUUGAAAGAUCCCGCAACUGUCAGCAGCAAUUUUUGGGUUUUGUUAGCAACACCCAUAAUCUUCGCGCGCGUGUAACGGCUUUAACAGCCAAUAGAACAAACCAAGGGACACGUGAAGGGCUUCGGUUGAUUCCGUUAGGCAAAACGGCAAUUAAUAAUGCCAUAGAAGUAAGUAAUACACGUGAUACAUCACGUGUACUACUUAUUAUAUCAACCGACAUUUAAAAAAGGGUCGUACAGCUAUCAGAACACUGAACCGACAUGCCAUACUGUUAUGGAUGACAAAUCGUACUUUCCCUCGACUUGACACUUGUCACACUCUGCUAUAAUGACAGAUUUGACCUUCAUUCUCCAACUACAUAAGGAAAACAGAGGCAGCAACACAUGAACCUGCACCCAUAUUACAGCUGAAGUGGCACACAAAAAUUUAUGCCUCAUCUGGCUCUUUAUUUAUAAUUAGUUUAGUUAUCCUUUUUUUUAAUUACUUUUAGUUUUAUUAAAAAUUUACUUAAAAUUUUAAUCCCCGCCUAGGCUUAUCUAGGCUUGCAAGCCUUUAGACGGAUUUUUAGGGAAACUAAGGGCCCGUUUGAGGAUUUCUUUUAGGAGGUUUAAAAAUGAUUUUGUAAAUCUAAAGGUAAUUUUAGUGUUUGGUAAAAAAAAAAACAAAUCAAAAUUACUUUUGUCAAAUCAGCUCCUCCCACAGCUGAUUUUGAAAAGUAGGGAAAGAGUAUCUUUUAAAUUCUGAUUUUGAAAAUUAAUUUUAUCCUUUAAUACAAUUCUAUAAAUAUCCUUAAAAUUACUACCUAAACCCAAAAUUAUCCUUAUUCAAAUUGGAAACAAACUCAAUAUUUUAAUAAAAUUUUAUUUUGAUUCAUCAAUAUAAAUUUAUUAAUAUCAAUUUUUUGGUCGAAUUAUUAUUAAAUUUGUUUCACUAAAUUAUAACUUUAAUUAUCAAUUGUUUAAAGAUAAAAAAUAAAAAAUAAAAAAUAAAAUCAAUAUAUUUUUAAUUUUAUUUUUAAUAAAAAUUAUUAUAAUACACAAUUAAAAAUAUUAUAUGUGCAUAUUUUUAUAAGUAAAUUUUAUUGUAUAUUAAAUACAUUUUAGUGAUUUAUUUUCUCGCUACAGUUUAACAAUCAAAUUUAUCAAGUGCUCAUAAUUGUUUUCAAAACUCACAAUACUUCUGAAAAUAAAAUUUAUCAAAUACUUAACUAAUUCUCUUUAAAAUUGAUUAUUUUUACAAUACAGCUAAUAGCAAUUACUUUAAAAACUAUAGCAUUCCCAAACUGAUUCUACAGCACAAUUAAUAAUUAUUAUUUUAAAAAUUACAGUAUUCCCAAACUGGCCCUAAGGCUGUUACCAAGAACAUGAGCUUCGGCUUAGGCUUAAAAGAGCGCAAGUUUGCAAUUUGCCAUCUUUAAUUGACAUGACAUACUGUUUUGGCUAGUAUAUCAUACUUUUCCUGUAAAUAUAACUAACUUGUCAUAUUUGUCUAUAAUUACAGAUUUGGGCUUCAUUCUUCAACAAAUUAGGAACAACAGAGGCAGGAACACGCGAACUUGCACCCAGAUUACAGCUGAAGUAGUACACAAUAAUUUACGCUUCGUCAUCUAGCUCUUUAUUUAUAAUUAGAUUAGUUAUCCUUUUUGAUAAUCGAAAUGACCAAAUUAAUGUACUUGGCUCUGUUCUUGGACAGGUAAUCGUCGACCAUCUCAGCAUAUCUUGCAAAUAAAAGGUCCAUUAUGCCCUUUCCGAAAUGAAGUUCAAACAUUGAUUCCACUACGGCUCUUACCGUCUUAGCCACUCGCUGUCCUCUUGACAAUGGCAGUAACGUUGUAUUAGUGAGCUCUUCAACACCCCCAUCCCAAUCAAUUUCAAAAUGGCCGAGGCGAUCAAUGAUGAAUGAGCCUUCCUUUUGUAUCGCCAUCUUUAGUUCUUCCGGACAUGGAGCGUAAUAAGGAGCAUUGAAUGAAUCAAGCUUUUCCUCUUCAAUCAAACGCUGCAUGCCAAAUAUUAUUUGUAUUUUGUACAAUGAAAUUUUGGACAUUUUAAUUAAUUAGGAGCAUAUAUAUAUAUAUAUAUAUAUAUAUAUAUAGAGAGAGAGAGAGAGAGAGAGAGAGAGAGAGAGAGAGAGAGAGGGCGGGGGGGCGCAGGAGAUAAACACUUGGAACAAAUUAAUUAUUGUUAGUACCUCAGUAACCAAGCUCAUUAGUGCUUGCGCUAAGAGCUCCCACUGGUAGCAACUUUCUUCAGUGGUAGGAUCAAUAGAUCUCCUGCCCAUUAACGAUAAGACCAUGCGGCCUCCAGCAAUCAUUUCUGCUGCUCGUGAUUUCAGAAAUAUCAAAAAAUUAUUUUGGAAUUGCAACGAGUAUGCAUCCAACACGCACUGUGGGCUACUCUUUGAUAUGUAGAUUUUUCCCUUAUUCAAAGCCGCUGGGGUAGCAUUGCUCUCCAGAGCAGGUGGUACCUGUACAUAUUUUUUCCUUCAGAUUACUUUCAUUAAUCGUUCAGAUAAAAGUACAAUCUAGUUCUUACAUACUUUUCGAAUCUUGAUUUCACCACAAAAUCUAACUAGUUUUUCUUUCAGCUUUUUCGUAGCCACAGUUUUCGCCUACCAUGCACUGAAGCUCUUUCUUAACAAUUAUUUUUUCUCACCUCACAUUUCGUUUAUUAUUAUUUUAUUACCAAGCUUUUAAAAAUAAUGUAAUUUUUAACAAAAAAAUUAUGAUAAAAAUUUAUUUUACCCUAAUCUGUAUAAGUACAAAUAAAAUAAAAAAAUAAAAAAUUAAUUAUAGUAAAAGAGAUAGUACUUUUAUGAAUUGAUUAUCUUGUAAAUUUAAAAUAAUUAAGCGAUAAAAUUGUAAGUAUUAUAAUACUUUCAGCUUAAUGUAUUAAAGUUUCUAAAUUACUCACGUGACGUUAGCAAUUUCUUAAUUGAGUCAAUUGUUUGGUGGUAAAAUGAUAAAAAUUAAAAUAAUAAAUAAGAAAAUGUAAUUAUUAGAAAACUUUGGUAAUAGAAUAAUUUGUUAGAAAAAAUUAUGUGGUAAAAUGAUAAUAUCCUAAAAUAUUUAUUAAAAAAACAAAUAAAUGCUUUGAGCAGGACGCGUUUCAUACGUUAUCCAUUCUUUACGGAAGAUUUCUGUUUUGGUACCAACAUAAGAUAAGAAAUACUUGAGCAACUGAUCAGCAUGACCUUUCCAAAGGAGUUCCAAAAAUUGGAUAUAUAUAAAUAAAAUAUGCCUAUGUUCAAGGUUUCAGAGUCAUUAAGCAUGCAGUAGAUGCAAGUUGAGUGAAAAUUACUCUCCGCCAGGAGCGGUUUGUGUGUGCUUUGACUUGGAAAUAUAAAAACUGUUUAAGGAAUCGCAGACACACAUCUGUAGUAUAUGUCCCUUCACUAUACAUACUACAGUCAAGAAAUAAUGACCCGGGCGAGCCAGUGGAUACAGUCAAUAAAUACUAACCUGGGAGAGCCAGUGGAGGCUUGAAGAAGAAUGCACAAAGUGGAGACUCUUGUCAGGAAACAGUCUGUCAUAAAAGGAACCAGCCACGCCCGAUAUGUAGCAACGUCCGAAUCCAAUACCCUUUUCUUGUUUUUGCUUCUUGAAGAACGCUGGCAAUGACUCAAAUAUGGAGUUGAAGUCAUUGCCAGGAAGAUCAUUCAAAGAAACCCUAAACUCCGGCGAUGGACGACCCAGAUUGCGACAUUUUGCAUGUAUGAUGUCGAUUAUCUCAGAGAUCACAAGCAAGGAGUUGGGUCCAGAUGAACAGCCCAAGUCCGCAAUGCCAAUGCUCUCUGGGAAUGUUUCACAUAAGAUUCCUAGUAUAGCUUCUUCAAUCACCGGUUUCGCUGUUGUUAUAAUCUUGCCCUACAUAUAUAAUUAACUGAAUCAGCUGUAUAUCCAUGAAGAAAUUAAUUAAGAACAAUACAGUAAGCACUGAAAUGAAAUUUGGUAACAUGGAAUUAACAAACCUGAACGGCGGAAUUAUUUGCAUAGCUGGUUUCACCAUCUCCUUUAUUCAUGUGUAGUACUUUCAUUACUUCCAUAUUUUUUUCCCUUUUAAUGUUCUCUCUAUUUCUCAGCUGUACCGCCAAUCAAGAAUUGAGAAUGAGAAUGUGUAUGUGAUUACGCUCUAUUUAUAGUACGAGGAUACAACAAUCAAUACUUUGGCUCUUAUAUAUCAAGUGGCCCAGUGUAAGGAAUUAGAUAUCCUGCUAAAUCUUGUGGAUAUAAUUAAUGAGUAAUGAUAUAAUGGGCGAUGGUGCUCACUUUAUGGUGAGAUAGUAUCACAUGGUACUUGUUGGUGCAAAUUUUGUCCCAACUUAUGAUGGUGAGUUCAUUCUUUGGGCUGAUCUUUAUGGGCCUUUGUAUAUACUCUUCUGAGUCCACUUCCUUAGGCAAUCAGAAGGUCCUUGUCCUGUGAUACUCUACAAACACAAGAAAAUUAUCAAAGGGCCGGCUUUGCCAGCGUAAACCCUCCGACGGUCAAGUCAGUCAUCGGACUUUUGGAAAUAUGAAUUUAGAAAGAGAAAGAUUAGAGGGAGAAAGUUAGCAUUUUCCCCUUUUGAGUCUCUUUUUUUGUCUUACCUUUUGAUGUGAAUGAAAGACAUAUUUAUCGACCAAACUGAUUUGACUUGGGUCCUAGUUAUUUUGAUGACAAAUGUCAUUGUUCUUGUGACAUUUGGCAACACUUGUCCUCUAGUGCCCAUGUGGAUUGACACAUGGAUAUACAAACUUGUCUACAAAUUAGAGGAAGGAAUAUUUUAUCCUUAGGUUAUUUUUACUAAGACCUUGGGAUCAUAAGAGCCUUCAAACUUAGGAGGUUUGUCCUAGGGUAAGAGCCUAGAACCUCAGCACGUUUUGGACUUUACAUCCUUGUCACCUAGUUGAUUUAUCCUAGGUGAUUUGUCUUAGGAUAGGAAUCUAGGAUUUUGGCUCCUUUUGGGCUUUGAAACCUUGUUACUUAGGAGGAUCAUUCUAGGUCAUUUGUCCACCACUUCGUGGGCUUAAUUGAGAGGAAAUCUAUUAGAUGGGUCUUAUUAGACUUAUUUUAUUUUUGAUCCAACAGUUGCCCCCCCAGUCUAAAAUUUUUAAAUAAAUAAAAAAUUUAGACUUUCUUAUUAUUAUUUUUUAAUAUCUUUAGGAGGAUUUUCUCCAAGAAUUUCAUCCUUAGGAGGAAUUUUCCUUAAAUUUUAUCCUUAGGAGGAUUUCAUCCUAGGAUGAUUUUCUUUAAGGAAAUUUUCUUUAUAUUUUAUCCUUAGGAGGAUUUCAUCAUAGGAUGAUUUUCUUUAAGGAAAAUUUCCUUAUAUUUUAUCCUUAGAAGGAUUUCAUCCUAGGACGAUUUUUUUUUUUAAGAAAAUUUUCCUUAGAUUUUAUCCUUAGGAGGAUUUCAUCUUAGGAUGGUUUUCUUUAAGGAAAGUUUCCUUAGAUUUUAUCCUUAGGAGGAUUUCAUCCUAAGAUGACUUUCCUUAAAUUUUAUCCUUAGGAUGAUUUCAUCCUAGGAUGAUUUUCUUUAAGGAAAUUUUCCUUCAUCGUAGGAUGACUUUCCUUAAAUUUUAUCCUUAAGAUGAUUUCAUCCUAGGAUGAUUUUCUUUAAGGAAAUUUUCCUUAUAUUUUAUCCUUAGGAGGAUUUCAUCCUAGGAUGAUUUUCUUUAAGGAAAGUUUCCUUAGAUUUUAUCCUUAAGAGGAUUUCAUCCUAGGAUGACUUUUUCCAUACUUGGAUAAUUUAUUUCCAUACUAGGAUGAUUUAUUGAUGAUUCAAAUUUCCAUCCUAGGAUGAUUCUUUCCAUACUUUGAUAAUUUAUUUCCAUCCUAGGAUGAUUUAUUGAUGAUUCAAUUUCCAUCCUAGGAGGAUUCCUUUCAUCAUUGGAAAAUUUUAUUUCCAUCCUAGGAUGAUUUAUUGAUGAUUCAAAUUUCCAUCCUAGGAUGAUUCUUUCCAUACUUGGAUAAUUUAUUUCCAUCCUAGGAUGAUUUAUUGAUGAUUCAAUUUCCAUCCUAGGAGGAUUCCUUUCAUCAUUGGAAAAUUUUAUUUCCAUCCUAGGAUGAUUUAUUGAUGAUUCAAAUUUCCAUCCUAGGAUGAUUCUUUCCAUACUUGGAUAAUUUAUUUCCAUCCUAGGAUGAUUUAUUGAUGAUUCAAAUUUCCAUCCUAGGAUGAUUCUUUCCAUACUUGGAUAACUUAUUUCCAUCCUAGGAUGAUUUAUUGAUGAUUCAAAUUUCCAUCUCAGGAUGAUUCUUUCCAUACUUGAAAAAUUUAUUUCCAUCCUAGGAUGAUUUUUGGAGAUUCAAGCUAUGUUAGGAGGAUUUGAUUCCUUCCUAAGAAUAUUUUAUUUCUAUCAUUAAUUGUCUUAAUUGCAAAUCCUCUUUAAUUGGCUAAGAUCAUCUCUCUCUCCUAUAUAAUGCCUCAUUUCUCAUUAUCUCAUGCAAUAGUUUACAAGAGAAAAGAGAAGAGGUUAGAGAUGUGAGAAUUUUGAGUAAUGAAUUUGUAACUGUUUUAUUUAUUAUGCAAUGUACAAUGCAGCUGACUUAUAUAGCUGAUCAGAUUUAUCAUACAGCUCAGCAACUCAGAUUUACAAUUACUAAAAACAAGUAAUGCGUGUGUUAUCUAUUUAAAUCUCAGCCGCUCAUCUAUAACUAGAUUGUUACACACAUAAUGGUUGAGGAAUCUCUGUGUAAUUGUUCUGCCAACUUGGAUAUCUUUCUUCUUCACGUGUGUGUUGCAUCACCUUACUUGUGUGAGCAUCAUUCUUGGUAAUCAAGUAAGCUCCAGCUGGCACUCCCAAGUGAGCUGAUCCAAGUUUAGCUUCAUCCUCAAACUUAACAUCCCUUCUCAAACUUAAGUCUCUAGGAGAGACUUUAAGUUUGUUUCUAAAGAAGCUAAACUUGGAAUAAGUGAGUGGUUUAGUUAACAUAUCUGCAGUUUGAUCAUUGCUGGGCACAAAAGCAAUUUCGAUCUCUUUCUUCUCAACUUUGUCUCUGAUAAAAUGAAUAUCUAUCUCUAUGUGUUUAGUCUUAGAAUGGAGAACUGGAUUUGUAGCAAUUGCAGCUGCACUUGUACUGUCACUUAACAACAGAGGAGUACAGUUGAGUUUUAAUCCCAAUUCUUGCAGUAAUGAACAUAUCCAAGUUACUUCUGCACUAGCUAAUGCCAUGGCUCUGUAUUCAGAUUCAGCUGAGGACUUAGAUACCACACUUUGCUUCUUAGAACUCCAGCUAAUCAAAUUGUCACUCAAGAAAACACAAUACCCAUUGGUGGACCUUCUAUCAUCAGGGUCACUUCCCCAAUCAGCAUCUGAAUAUGCUACAAGAUCAAAGGAGUCAGACUUCUUGAAUGUCAAGCCAUAGUCAAUUGUUUCCUUUAGAUACCUGAGUACUCGUUUGCAAGCUGACCAAUGUGGCUGCAGAGGAUUGGACAUAAAUUGACUUAACUUGUUGACUGCAUAAUCAAUUUCAGGCCUGGUUAAUACAGCAUACUGCAGUCCUCCAAUGGCUCUCCUGUAUUGAGUUGAGUCAGCAUGUAUUUCCCCCAUAUUUUUGCUCAACUUCUCUGUAGUUGCUAGUGGAGUGUCUGAGCCAUUACAGUUCUUUAAAUCAAACUUAGUAAGUAGUUCCUUCAAAUAUUUUGAUUGUGACAAAAACAGAGUAUCUUCAUUCCUUGUGACUUCAAUGCCUAGAAAGAAGUUAAGCUGACCCAAAUCUUUUAGAGCAAAAGCAUUUCCCAGAUUACAAAUAAGCUACUCUAUUUCAACAUUAUUGCUUCCAGUGAUUAUGAUAUCAUCCACAUAAACUAGUAGGAUGAUCAGCUCAUUUUCAUUUUGUUUGAAGAACAAUGAAGUGUCUGAUUUUGCUCGACAGAAAUUCCAUGAUUCAAGUACUGAUCUUAACUUAUCAAACCAGGCUCUUGGUGCCUGUUUCAAACCAUAGAGGGCCUUCUUUAGCUUACAAACAUAUCUUGGGUGAUCUGUAUCCACAAAGCCUUCAGGCUGAGGCAUAUAAACAGUUUCAGUUAACUCCCCAUUUAGAAAGGCAUUAUUAAUGUCAACUUGUCUCAACUUCCAAUUAUUGAUCACAGCCAUGCUUAGAACAAUUCUUAUUGUGGCUGCUUUCACCACAGGGCUGAAAGUCUCCUGAUAAUCUACACCUUCAGUUUGUAGGAAACCUUUUGCAACUAAUCUGGCUUUGUAUCUGUUUAUUGUUCCAUCUGAGUUUUGUUUUACUCUAAAUAUCCACUUGUUUCCCACAAGUUUCAUAUGUUGUUCUGGUGGAACCAAACACCAGGUCUAAUUUCUAACCAAGGCACUGAACUCAUCCUGCAUAGCUAGUUUCCAGUUGUUAUCACUUAAAGCUUCAGCAACACUUGAUGGUGUUUCCAGGGACAAAGCUUUUUCAGUGUUGUAAGCUUUAGGCUUAAAGAUGCCAGCUUUGGCUCUAGUAAUCAUGGGAUGUGAAGGGUUAAUUUUAGAAGUGGUUUGAGUUAUUUCAGUGUUUUGGUUUUGAGCUUCAUUGUGUUCAGGGGCACAAGAACACUCUGGGGUAUCUUGAAUUUCUGUGUGUAGGUUUGAAGAAAUAUUUUGCUCUGGAAGAAUUUGGUUGUGAUUGUUGUUAGAAUUUUGAUCAUUAGGGAGAGUGAGAUCAUGAAUUUCUUUUUCAGAUGAACUUGUACUUACUGCUGGUGCCUCAUGAUUGUGACUGUCAGAAGGAAAAGUCACUGUGAUGAAUUUGCUAAAGGAAUUUAAAGACUCAGAUGGUUUGUUCUGGUUUGACUUUAUGAAUUUUGGAUCUGUUUUGAGAGGAAAAGAAUUCUCAUUGAAGUUUACAUGUGCUGCUAUGUAUAUUCUUCAAGUUGAACUUAGACACAUAUAACCUUUGUGAUAUUGGCUGAAUCCUAAAUUUACACAAGUGGAGGUAUGAAAAUCAAGUUUAUGUUUAUUGUAAGGUCUCAUGAAAGGAUAGCACUCACAGCCAAAUGUUUUGAUGAGAGAGUAAUCUGGUUUCUUUGAGUAAAGGAAUUCAAAAGGAGUCUUGUCAUUUAAGGUAGGUGUGCUGGUUCUGUUUAUGAGAAAUGUGGCAUUUGAGAAGGCUUCCCACCAGAAUUUCAAGGGUAAUCCAGAUUGAGCAAGAAGAGUCAAUCCAGUUUCUACCAAGUGUCUGUGUUUCCUUUCAGCUUUCCCAUUUUGAUGAUGAGUGUAUGGGCAUGAGUAUCUCAAAGAAAUACCUUCAUGUUUCAGGUAUGGUUCAAAGAUUUUGUAUUCCCCCCCCCCCCCCAUGUCACACUGUAAGGUUUUAAUUUUCAGUUCAAGACUUUUCUCAACUUGAUUUUUGAAAGAUAUGAAUGUUGUGAGUGCUUGAGACUUGUGAGUUAAUCCAUAAAUCCAUGUGUAUCUGGUUUUAUCAUCAAUGAAGGAUAUAUAAUAUCUGAAACUUUGAUUGGAUUCAGUGGGUGCAGGACCCCAAAGAUCACUAUGGAUGAUCUCAAGGGCUUUUGAGGUUUUUGUUUCACUAUGUUUGAAAGAUAAUCUGUGUGUUUUCCAUACUGACAGGCUUUGCAGAAUGAUAAACCAGAUGUUUUAUUUCCAAAUUGAAUAUUACAAGCAGAUAAAGUUUUCACAAGAGCACUGACACUAGGAUGGCCUAAUCUCAUAUGCCAAAGAUCAAGCACUUUGUUGCUUGUAUAAUUGUCAUUACAACUGACAGACAACAUAGACUCAGGACAAGAUGUUUUAUUUACUGUAAGUAGACUAGGAGUAGUAAUUGAAGACAAUAGAAUGGAUUUGAAUUGACUGGAAUCAUGAGGCAAACUCAGCAGUUUGUACAAUCCACCUUUAGCUAUUCCUUUCAAAAGAACACUCCCCCUUCUCUUGUCCUUGACAACACAGCAAGUUUUAUGGAAUUCAAUAGAGACAUCAUUAUCAUGCAAUAAUUGUGAAAUACUAAUCAACUUUUUGGUUAUUUCUGGAACAUAAAGAAUGUGGUUAAGUUUGAUAUGAGUUGAUGUGUGUGAAUCAAGUGUGUUGAGCAGUGAGUGACCAACAAAAACUAUUUUGAGUUUAGUACCAUUACCUACUGCCAGCUGAUCACUUCCCUUGUACUCAGAGUUGAUGUUGAGAUUGUUGAAGUCAUUUGAGAUGUGGUUGGUUGCACCACUGUCAAGAUACCAGGCUCCAUCCCUGUGACUUCCAUUUUCAGCAAUAAAUGCACUCCUCCUGUUAGGUGCUUGAUUAGGUACAUAAUUCUUCUUAAACCUGUACGAGCAGUUGGUAGCAGUGUGAUUUUUCCUGAAACAGAUCUGGCAUGGUCCCUUAUGUUCUUCUUCAUCAGCAGGAUUCUUGCCUUUGAACUUGUCUGGUGAAUUCAUAUUCUGAUUGAAAUUGUAUCCACCAGGUUGUUUUCCAUUUGAGCUUCUAGCUGGCCUUCCACCAUAGUUGUUGUUCGGCUGCCAGUUCCUCCUUUGAUUUCCUCUGUGAUAAGCUAAGUUAGCUUGAUAAUCCAUAUGACUGACAGAGUGUUGAUAUUCGAUUCUAUGUUCAUGACUCAGCAGCAUGCCAUACACAUCAGAGGGAGAUGUGCCUUCAGGUUGUGCAUUAAUAGUUGUAACAAUUGAAUCAUAUUCAGAUCCAAGGCCAGCAAGCAAGCACAGCACAAAAUCUUCAUCAGUCAUAUUAUUUCCAGCAGCUCUCAGAGCAUCAAGAUUUGUUUUCAUCUUUGUGUAGUACUCAUGAAUAGAGGUAGAUCAUUUCCUCGUGGUCUGAAUUUGAGUUCUCAAAUGCAGAACUCUGGCUCUGGAUCUAGCUCUAAACUGAGCUGCAAGAACUUGCCACACCUCCAGAGAAGACCUUGCUCCAACUACAGCACUAAGAACUUCUUCACUUAAAGUUGAGAGUAACCAGCUCAUCAGCUGCUGAUCAUUUCUUCUCCAGAUCUGGAACUGUGGAUUUGGAGUUGUGAUCACAGUUUGAUCACUGUCAAUGUUGAUCGCAACUCGACUAGGUGGACUCUUUGAGCUAUCGAUCAGAUCCUCCAGAUCAUUUGCAUUGAUCGUAGCUAUCACUUGAGAUCGCCACAACAAGUAAUUGUUAUUGGUAAGCUUUAUUGGCGUGUUGAAGACAAGUGAGUUAAGAACAGAGGUGCUAACGUUUGAAAGAUGAUUAGUGUUUAUGGUUGAGCUCGAAGCUCCAUUACUGUUGAUCUGAUUUUCAUUACUCGCCAUUGUUGCUUCUCAGAGCUCUGAUACCAUGUGAGAAUUUUGAGUAAUGAAUUUGUAACUGUUUUAUUUAUUAUGCAAUGUACAAUGCUACUGACUUAUAUAGCUGAUCAGAUUUAUCAUACAGCUCAGCAACUCAUAUUUACAAUUACUAAAAACAAAUAAUACGUGUGUUAUCUAUUUAAAUCUCAGCCGCUCAUCUAUAACUAGAUUGUUACACACAUAAUGGUUGAGGAAUCUCUGUGUAAUUGUUCUGCCAACUUGGAUAUCUUUCUUCUUCACGUGUGUGUUGCAUCACCUUACUUGUGUGAGCAUCAUUCUUGGUAAUCAAGUAAGCUCCAGCUGGCACUCCCAAGUGAGCUGAUCCAAGUUCAGCUUCAUCCUCAAACUUAACAAGAGAGAAAAAUUUCUCAAGGUGCCCGACGGUGGUGUUCAUAGUAGCUGGCGACGAAUUUUUGGCGGCCUUUUGUCGACUCUCUAGUGAUUUUCCUGCGACUUUCCGACGUCUUUUUGUGAGUAUUUAUUUAUUCAUUGCUUUUUAUUAUUUAUUGCUAUCCUUAGGAGAGUAAUCAUAGUCAUUUUCACUUUGUAGGUUUUUCUUAGUUCAACAAGACCUAGUAUCAAAAUGACCAAAAAUAUUGUGGUGGAUGUUAUUCCUUUGACUACCAUUCAUGCUACUACGAGUGAUGUAGGUAGUUGUGAGUUGAAAGAGGAGAUAGAUGAGGAUAACAGUGGAUAUGUAGAUGAAAUUAUAAAAAGAAGAGAGGUGAUUAACUUAGAAAAUUCGGAGGAUGAGGAUGAGCCUGUAGUUGAAGAUACCUAUCCAUGGCAGAUGAAGACGAUUAAAUGUGGAUUAGAUGAAAUGUCCCUUGAGAUAUGAAUGAUUAGAUAUAGCAUUCCUAGAUCAAUAACACUUCGUCGUGCUUCACCUAGAAUGACAAUUGUGGGGUAGAGUGGUGUUUUCUUAUCCUUGGGGGGUAUUUUGAAGAUAAUCACUCUAGUAGGGGAACACAAUGAAAUUUAUCCCACACUAAAACAGUUGGACAACAAUACUACACUGAUUGCACUCUACUAAGGGCCAUAAUGACAAAAAAGAAAAAUCAUGCCUUACUUUAUUAUGUUCUUUAAAGCUAGGUCUCCCACUAUAAUAUCCAUGUGCAAUUAAAAUUUUUCUCUUUGAAUUUUAAGGGGAAAAAAUCUGCCAAAAUUAUUUAUGGUCUAUAUUUUAUUCUUUCCUUAAGAGCUCUUUUAAAUGUAAAGAAAUAUAAGAGGCUUUUUACAUUCCUUUAGGAUUUAAAAAAUUAUUAUUUUGAGUACGUAUAUGAUUUCACUGUUCCACAUAAUAUUUUGGUAGGUGGGGAUAACCGAUAACAGCUUACGUAAAUCCACCCCAUUUAAAAAAUGUUUUUGCUAGACUUCAAAUUAUUUUUUAAAAUUUAUAAUGAAGAAAAAGUUUAAACAAUUAAUCAAUUAGAUCUAAGAUCCUGGAUUUGAGAAAUUAUAAUAUAUAUACAUAUAUAUGUAUGUGUGUGUGUGUGUGUAUAAUUUUAAAGUGUGGGAAAAUUUAGAAAAAUACAUAAACCGUGCGGUUUAAGCGCUAUAAAAAUGUUCUAAUUUAGAAUUUUAAAGUAUAAAAAAGUUCGAGAAAACGCAUAAACCGUGCGGUUUAAAUACUUUAAGUUUUAGGCCUUUUAAACCCCACAGUUCUCAUACUUUUUUUGUACUUUAAAAUUUCGGAUGAGAAGACUACUAUAUAUGUGUGUGUGUGUUCUGUGUGUGUUUACAUAUCAACAGAUGAGUUGAAUAGAAGGCUGCGUCCGGCACCUCCUAGCAUUUGUUCAGGUUCAUGUAGCAGUAGAAUUGAGUUCAUGUAGCAGGUUAGGAUUCCAUUCAUGCUAGAAACAUUGGUCAACUACAUCACAUUAAGGCUUAUAUCUCACAGAGUUUAGGAGAUUGUUAAUUUAGGAUCAUUUCAUGAUAAUGUUAGUAACUCUUUGCUGGGCCACCAAAAACUUUUACAUGUUUUUCUUUCAACUUUGACACAGUUAGAUGGGACUUUGUAGGCGUAGUCCUGAACAUCCUGGGCUUUCCGGAGAGGGUAGUGCAAUGGAUCAGGGAAUGCAUCUCCACUCCUCAGGUCACUAUUGUCACUAACGGCCUAAGUGAUGGAAGCUCUCUCUUCAACUUCUCAAUUUUAGUAGCAUCAUGGCCUACAAUCAAUAUGUCAUCCACAUAAAGUAAGAGAAUGAUAAAAUCAUCAGCGGAAACCUUCGUCACGGGUGCCAUCCGACUGCAACAAAGAACCGGGAUACAAGGAAAGGGGCAGCCUUCAACCAAUAGCAAUCGCGCACCUAAACAACAUAGAAAGAAUGGGUCUUCUCCUAGUGGGAUAGCAAAGAAGGAUCUCUCCUAUCCCGUAGUGCUUGUCUACGAGAACGCAUAUCGCUUUUUCUAUGUCAGAAAAUAAGUAUUAGGAGAGCUCCAAGGUAUUUCUAGGAAAACCGACAGAAAGCUCCAAGCAUUCAACUUCAAUACAGUUACUUCACACCUUUUCAAUCGUACAUCUACUCUCAACAAUCUCUGUUUCUUUUGUAAUAUCAGAAUUCGCAUAAUUCCUUCCGUGGAUGUAGAAUAUAGUGUAUAUAUCCUUUUCUCAAUAAAACAUGGAUAUAAGAAGAAUAUAAAUAUUAUAUGAAAGGAAAUUUGUAAGGUCGGAUACAUUCAAUUCAACCAAAACCAAGUAAAUAAGAUUGUAUAAUUUGCACUUAAACAUGAAUCUACAAUCUGGUAACAUGGUAAAAUAUUAAUCCAUAUCAUCUUGAAUUAUGUAAUUAAAAAAUUUCAACAUAUACAGUAUAAAUGUUUAGAACGUGCUGUAAUUAUUGUUGCUCAUCCAAGAAAUAUCAGCUCCAUAGCUAUGAAAGAAGUGCAGGAAAACUGUUAUGCCUGCCCUUUCCAGUAAUUUCGUUCAAAUGGUAAUAGGGGUUUGUUGCUCAGAUAUGAAUGAGCUCUGAGACUUAGCCCUAUAGGCCAUAAAAUUAGGCCCGCAAGAUCUUUUUUAAGAAAAUUUUCCUUGUUUUUAGGUAUGGUAAUGGGCACUGUCCGUAUCGGAUUUGUCAUUACCACACAACGGAUUUGUCAUUAACGCUCAUGAAUUUUAAAUUGCAGAUUUUUAUCUUUUAAAGAAAAUUCAUUCUCUGUGUGUGUUGACAAUUAACAAAUCUGUAAUGAUAGAUGUUCAAUAUUUAAAAUCAUAGAUGUUCAAUAUGUAAAUUUGUAGUAAUAACCUAAAAUUCCAAAAAACAUACUCAAUUUUAAAUUUAACCAAUGUAAAUGAAAAAUUAAAUUUUCAACAUUAAUUCAAACAAAUUCUCAAAUUUAAGUAUAAAAUACAUAAAUCCAUAAAAAAGCUACUAACUAGUAUUUAAAAAUAACAAUUAUCAUUUCAUAUUGUCAUUCAACACAAGCUCCGAUCGAAAAUUUUCAUUUUAUUCACCACCAUUAGCACCCAUCCAACAUGAUUCCUAUAAUAAUACUUAAAAUUAAUAUUUUCUAAAGAAUGUUAAUUUUUAAACACUAAUCCGAAGAACAAAAUUAUAAUAAUGAAAUAAUCCAUGCAUUAAGUUAAAGAAAAUUCAACCAAAAUUAUAAUAAGUGUAUAAGUAUAUUUUUAUAUUUAAAUAUUUUUUUAAUCAAAAUUAAAUUAAAAAAUAAUAAAAAAAGAUGUGGGUUGACAGAUACCCAUGCGGGUAUUCGUCGGAUAUUUGUCUAAUACUAAACCCAUCCGCAACCUACUAUGGGUGUCAAUUUAUAAUGCCAUACCCACCCGCAACCCACAAAAUUACCCGUAACAGGCGGGUUUUGGUGGGUGGAUUUAAGCGGGUUUGCGGGUACUAUUGUCAUCCCUACUUAUUUUACAUAAAACUACAAAAUUGUGGAUUGCUUUCAACUGAAAUAAGAUUAUAAAAUAUAAUUAUAAGAAAGUUUGCAAAUAUAUCAAUGGAUAUGAAUAAUAAUAAUGAUAAUUAUUUAUUUAUUUAUUUAUUUAUUUGCUAUUGUUAGCAAGCAUUUCUUGGUAAGAAUUUUUAUAUUAAAAUAAAUGUGUUAGCAAAUAUUUUUACAUAAUCAAGUUUUAGAUUUUAUUAAAGUUAUGUGAUAUAGAUCUCUAAGGCCCUAUGCUAUUAUUGAAGGCAUAUUCCUUGACUUGUCAAAAAUAAAAAACAAGCAUAUAUGUUCUCAAGCCUGUGCAAAUAUAUAUGUGAAAUCUUAGAUUGCUUAAAUUUUAUGUAUCAGAGUGUUUUGGUGUUUCAAUUACAAGCUCUGACGUGCAUGUUGACCAAGGUUUGAAAUACCUUAUAGAAAAAUUGUGAUAUCUUUAAAGACAUGGGUUUCCAUUGAGAACAUUAUUAUCAAGUUUUAAGUUGAAGAACCUUAUUGACCUCAAAUUGCUUUACAAUAAAUUUGAAAAAGUUUGAGAAGCAAAAAAGAUAUGGUAUACCAGUACCAGAGCAGUAAGUUUUUUAUUCUUUAAAAUAUACGCAUUUAGUUGUAAAAUUGGUUGAUCCUAAUUUACUGUAUUCUUUGUUUGUCCUUUUAAUAGAAAACAUUCAAGUUAAAAUCUGUUGACCUCCAUCACUCCCUACUUCACUAUGAUGCCAGACCUAUCACAAACCAUAAGUCAUGAGAGGGAACAAAUCUUUUAAAUUGUACAAACUUAAUUGGCUUGCGCUCCCUCAUCCAUCCAGAAUUUCAGCCAUCUAGUAUAUAUAUUGUGUUUCGAGGGCUACACACGUCUUAGAUCUUUUCUAAGAAGCAUUCAUUUUGUUUCUCCGAUAACUAUUGAUUUCUGCAACUCGAUUAAUCUUACAGAGUUUCCAUAAUUUUUUAGAAACUUAACAGACCUAGACUUAUGAAAAACUGCAAUAGAAGAAGUUCCCUCAUCAAUAGAGUGCUUAAUUGGUCUUAAAGUGUUGAAAUUCAGUUAAUUGCACAAGGCUAAAGACGGAAUCAACUAGCAUUUGUAAAUUGAAAUCUCUGCUCGGGCUUCAUCGCGAUGACUGAGAGUUUCCCAGAAAUCUUGGAGAAAAUGUAACAUUUAAGAUACAUCAUUUUAAGACGGAUAACAAUCACAGAACCGCCAUCUGCAUUCGAAAAUCUAGUAUGGCUUGAAAGGUUGUGCUUAGAGAGUUGCUCUAAACUAGAAAAUUUGCAAAAUAAUAUUGGCAAUUUAAAAGUUUUGAGGUACAUCGAAGCAAAUAUAUCAACCAUUAGUCAACUACCAUCCUCUUGUCGCAGAUUCAAAUGAGUUACUUAGGUUCUCCGGAUGCAGAGGUUUGGUAUCAUUUCCUGCUUCAUUAUUAUCAGGUUUAUUUUCACAACUAAGGAAAAAAGAAUUAUUAUUUUGAUUAUACAAUAGUUAGAAUGAAGAGAAAAGGAAAGAAAUUAGAGGAGAGAGAAUUAGUAAUAACUCUACUCAUUUGACAUUCAUAUCAUUUAAUUUUAAACAUUCAUUCAUGCUUAAUUUAAAGGUUCAAAAGAAGUGUAAAAAAUAAGUGUAAUUUUAGGAGGCGGAUCAUCAUAUUGUUAUAUUAUUGUUGAAGGCAGAUAGCAACUCUCUAAUGGUGUGUUUACUUGUGGGUUUGGAGAAUGAGAAUAAAGGAAUAAGAAUGAAACCUAUGUUUACUUGGCAAAUUGUAAUUUGGGAAUGGGAAUAAAAUGUGUGGGUCCCACACAAUUUGAGAAUAAGGAAUGGAAAUCUCAUUCCCAUGAGAGGUUUAUGAAUGAAAAUGUGGGAAUGUGAAUGAAACAUAUAUUUACUUUUCUAUCCUUCUAAUUUUUUCAUAUUUCCUAAAUUACAUUUGUUCAAAUCACAAAUAAUUUAUUAUUUUAAAUGUCAUUAAUAAUAAUAAUUAUUAUUAUUAUUAUUAUUAACUUUUAUUAACUUUUAUUAACUUUAUUAUUUUAGUUAUUAUUAAUUAUUGUUAUUAUUAUUUUUAUUAAUAUUAUCAUUAUUAACAAUAAAAAUAAUGAUAAAAAUAAUAAUUAAUAAAAAUAAUUAAUUUAUCAUUAUUAACAAUAUUAUCAUUAUUGUUGUUGUUGUUGUUGUUAUUAUUAUUAUUAUUAAUAACUAAAAUAAUAACAAUAAUAAUAACAAUAAUUAAUAAUAACUAAAAUAAUAAAGUUAAUAAAAUUUAAUAAUAAUGUAAUUUUCAUUAUCUAGAUACAUGUAUAAAUAUUAUUAUAAAAAUGAUAUGAAUUAAAUAAUAAUAAUAAUAAUACUAAAUGUUAAUAAUGAUAAUAUUAAUAAAAAUAAUAUUAACAGUAAUUAAUAAUAACUAAAAAAAUAAAAUAAAUAAAAUAAAAUAAUAAUAAUAAAUGUUAAUAAUGAUAAUAUUAAUAAAAAUAAUAUUAACAAUAAUUAAUAAUAACUAAAAAAUAAAGUUAAUAAAAUUUAAUAAUAAUAAUAAAUGUUAAUAAUGAUAAUAUUAAUAAAAAUAAUAUUAACAGUAAUUAAUAAUAACUAAAAUAAUAAAGUUAAUAAAAUUUAAUAAUAUUAUUAUUAUUUCUAUUGCCUUUUUUCUGUGCUACGAAAUUAACUGUAAAAUUAGAAAAUGCGACUCUAAUUUCUAAUUAAUAAAAUUAGAAAUUUAUUAAUUUAUUAGAAGUAUUAGCGCAUACCAACAAUAUCAUACUAAAUCAAAGAAAGAAAAAGCAUAAAAAUACUUUUAAAAAAGAAAAAAAAUGAACUAAAAAACUACUAAAGAACCCCGAUAAAGAAACCUGACUAAAUAACGGAUCAAUACUGCCCCCAUUACUAUUAUUAUUAUUAAAUUUUAUUAACUUUAUUAUUUUAGUUAUUAUUAAUUAUUGUUAAUAAUAUUUUUAAUAAUAAUAAUAAUAACAACAACAACAAUUAUAAUAUUGUUAAGGUUAAUAACCUAACAAAUGCAUCUAAGCCGUUGUAUAACUUUUGGGUUGAAUCUAAAGGUGGAUUUGAAAAAGACAAAAAAUGGGGUACCAAACACCAUGGGUAAUAUAGCUGGACCCAAUUUUAUUACCAAGUUCAUUUGUCAGUAAGUGGUGAUGACACUAGAGACAGAAUUAUUUAACAAGUACAAGUAACUUAUAAAUCUGUCUAAUGCUUUCAUUAAAAUUGUGUGCAUAAUUGAAUGAUAAAGAUAGUUUUUGCCAGAUUCUUGAAAUAAAGGGUUCUCUGGCGUACAUAUUAAUUCAUAAAUCUGGAUUUCCUGCCUUUGUCUUUUCCCGCUUCAUAGACUUUGUAAUAUAGGAUCUAAAAAUAUUUCACGGAGUUUCCACUACAACUGCCUACCUGGUAAUUUGAGUUUCUGUAAACCAACUUAAAACUUGUAACAAAAAUUGAAACUUCUAGUGUUUUUUUUUUUUUUUGCCUUUUUCUUUUUUAAAUUUAUUUCAUUUUAUCGCAGGCAAUGAGUUCUAAGUAUUAUCCACCACUCUUAUUUUAUAAUUAAAUAUAACAAAUCAAUAAUCGUGAUGUAAAUAUGAAUAUGAAACAAACUUCUUAAGAAAUUAAUUAUCUAAUGCGAGCACUAGCCCUUGUCUCCCGUAUCUCUCAAGUUAGGUUGAGGGUGUGGAUUCAAAUUCAAGCCUUCUAUGAGGGCUUGAUUUCUCCAAAUUUUAUAGGAAUAGAUAUUUCCCAUAUAUUUGUGCAAUUAGAUUUCUAAAUUAAUGUUUGGUGGAUCUAUGAAUUGUUGAACAAAGUGUCUUGUUGAUCAAAUCAUUUUGGAACAAAAAAGAAAAUUAGUAGAAUUUGAAAUAAUCCGAAUGUAGUAUUGUUAAACUUCAAAUCAGCAAGAACUGAUUCCUGUUCCCCAAGAACUACUCUUAACUCUUAAGUCUAAUGACCUUUAAAUGGCUACUAAAGAAACUAUGGUUGAUGAUUUUGAUCUGUGCAAAAAGAAUAACUAAUCAAUCUAAGCAAAGAAAUCACACACACUUGACAUAAAAGGCUUAUAAUGGUUCGGCCAUAAACUAACCUAUAUCCACGGUGAAGAUCAAAGAGAGCUUUCCCUACUUUUGUCUUUACAAGAUACAAUAUUGAAGAUAAACUGUAAAUGAACAGAAUUAGUCAAAGAUCAGAUCCGAUGGCUUAAUAUACAUUUAGAAAACAAUAUUGAAAGAUCCCGCAACUGUCAGCAGCAAUUUUUGGGUUUUGUUAGCAACACCCAUAAUCUUCGCGCGCGUGUAACGGCUUUAACAGCCAAUAGAACAAACCAAGGGACACGUGAAGGGCUUCGGUUGAUUCCGUUAGGCAAAACGGCAAUUAAUAAUGCCAUGGAAGUAAGUAAUACACGUGAUACAUCACGUGUACUACUUAUUAUAUCAACCGACAUUUAAAAAAGGGUCGUACAGCUAUCAGAACACUGAACCGACAUGCCAUACUGUUAUGGAUGACAAAUCGUACUUUCCCUCGACUUGACACUUGUCACACUCUGCUAUAAUGACAGAUUUGACCUUCAUUCUCCAACUACAUAAGGAAAACAGAGGCAGCAACACAUGAACCUGCACCCAUAUUACAGCUGAAGUGGCACACAAAAAUUUAUGCCUCAUCUGGCUCUUUAUUUAUAAUUAGUUUAGUUAUCCUUUUUUUUAAUUACUUUUAG